rnacentral:rRNA from 1 species
AUUGAACGCUGGCGGCAGGCCUAACACAUGCAAGUCGAACGAGUGGCGGACGGGUGAGUAAUGUAUGGGAAACUGACUGAUGGAGGGGGAUAACUACUGGAAACGGUAGCUAAUACCGCAUACCAUCGAAUGUGCCCAGAUGGGUUUAGAUAGUAGUUGGGGUAACGGCUCACCUAGGCGACGAUCCCGAGCUGGUCUGAGCGGAUGAACAGCCACACUGGAACUGAGACACGGUCCAGCCUCCUACGGGAGGCAGCAGUGGGGUAGAUUGCAAUAUGGGCUCAAUCCUGAUGCAGCCAUGCCGCGUGUGUGAAGAAGGCCUUCGGGUUGUAAAGCACUUUCAGCGGGGAGGCGUUACCCGCAGAAGAAGCACCGGCUAACUCCGUGCCAGCAGCCGCGGUAAUAC